UACGUAGGGGGCAAGCGUUGUCCGGAAUCAUUGGGCGUAAAGAGCGUGUAGGCGGCUCGGUAAGUCCGCUGUAAAAGUCCAGGGCUCAACCCUGGAAAGCCGGUGGAAACUGUCGAGCUAGAGUCCGGAAGAGGCGAGUGGAAUUCCUGGUGUAGCGGUGAAAUGCGCAGAUAUCAGGAGGAACACCAAUGGCGAAGGCGGCACUCUGGGCCGGAACUGACGCUGAGGAGCGAAAGCGUGGGUAGCAAACAGG
rnacentral:rRNA from 1 species